rnacentral:lncRNA from 1 species
GUGAUACGGUGUUCUUGUGUCUAUUCUGCCGCGUCUACGAAGCGCGUAGUCGUCUUCUCACCAAAGGAGCGCAGCAGCGCCUUGGCACGGGCCUGGCGUCGGCCCCCAUUUUGCGAACAGCUUC